ensembl:lncRNA
AUACUCUCAAUUUGAAAAGACACCAUAAAGCACAUAAGCUAGAUAAUUUUGAGUGAUUUUUUUUCUUUUCUUUUCUCUAACAAGUAAUGUAACAUUGAAGAUUUGUAAAGACUCAGCUCUCAAAAAGGUAUUUGGGAGCUCAAGAUCCCAAACUCUCAGACUGCUGGUGGCAAAAAUGCAGUAGGCAUAAAAUAAUCAUGUCAACGGUUGUGAUGGACACUACUGAAAUAGUGUUGAAAACAGAACAAAAUCUGACUUAGGAAUUUUGAACUCCCUGAAAGUAGCAGACUUGCAUUAAAGUCCAUUGGCAUCUUUAAGACAUCAGUACUUGCCAAUACAAAUUGCCUGCUAGACUUUUUUCUUUCAUAUAACAAAAGUCUGAAGUAGCUCAGAUUACAAAUUCAGUCUGGUUUGAAUUUAAUCAUCUCUCUAGAUCUUCCAAGGCCAACAUUGGAAAGCAUGUUCACUUUUCACUGAUUCAGACAAAGAGAGGCCGUUCCCCCUCCUGCCGUGACAUCUGAUUCUAAUGACUUAAUAAUCAUGCUGUUUUCCCUCCUUGUGACAAAGAGUGUGACUGAGAAGAUGAAGUGACCGGUCAGCUGUGGCCUGUGUUUCCAUCCCUGUUAUUCACGAACUGUUUUUUGUCUCUGCUGUGUACCAUGCUUGUGGAACUGUAAACUCAACUCUCUUAGGUGGUGUCAAUCAGCCCAGUCCACCCAUGAAGAUGCCACAUGGAUAAGCAUAACCACUGCCGAUCAGAAGGUGACAAGCAGGGUACCCCUGGCCCCAGGAGCAGCAGAGGGCAAGGAUCUUCUGCAAACACUGACUUCCACCACUAUGUAUUAAUGAGUUUGACCCAGGUCACAGGGGUCCCUUUAGCACAUGGUGCUACCCAUGACACAGCACUCCCAGCCUUGUGCUUGCCACAGUGCCAUUCUUCACGGGCACCUAACACCUCCGAAGUUUGAUUGUGUUUUAUAAAAAGUUUUAACUUAGCAGGGAAGCUGGGAUGAGUGCAGGAGUAUAAAACUCUUUAGAGACAAGUUCAUUAUAAAUAAUCAUGUCGUUUUGAAACCUUGUUGUCAAAAUGUCCCCAGAGUUUUCAAAUAUAGUAUGCAGCAUAGUCAUAAAAUAUGCACUGAAAUCGCUCUCCUGGCUUGAGAACCAGUGAACAAGUUGUGACAGAUGAUAUCUUGAGUACUUUACAAGGAACUGGAAGGCCCUCCGACACAAAUUCCAGAAGAAUAAGCAAUAGCUUGUGAGGACUGGAGGAGGAGCGGGGAAGGAAAACAGCUUGCUCAGCUGAGCUUCAGUUGAAAAACAAUGCUGUCUGAAGAUGCCUUUGUUAUACUUGAGACUCGGUGCAUAUUCAGUCUGAGAAAAGGAAUGGAAACAGGUGCACUACUCAGUGUAUGUCAAGGAAGAGAGAAAGCCAAAAGCAACAAAAGAGGAACCCCGAGCCUGGCUGGCAGGCAAGGUGACCUCCCAGGUAACUGAGGCCAGUUAUCACAUGGGGAGGGCGGGGGUCUGUUUUAUUCCUUGUUAAAACUUAAGCACUUGCAGCAGGACCAGUGGAUAAUGGAAAAUGUAUGUACAAAGCCUGUCUUGUGACAGUGCAGUGGCUGAUUCCAGACUGAAGCAGGAUUUUGUCAAUGGGUAAAUGACACUGAUCCCAGUGCUCCUUGCGAUGGAGGAUAGGAAUCCCUGUGAUAUAGGGUACCAUUCUUCUAAAGUGUUGGUCUCUGGCACACAGACAGCUUAGAGCUGGCUGCUGGAGUCCCAGUCUGUAUUGAGGGUUGUUUCCUGGAAACCCUGACAGGUCUAUUAUCCCGUGCCAAGGGGACAUUGAAAGUGUAAUGGUUGGUGUUAUUGAGUGGCCAAUGUGACAAUAGGAACAUGUGUGGACCAACCAAAGUGGGUUUAUUUAUUAGUAUCUGCAUCCUCCCUCCUUUCUGGGACCUGUGUCUGUUCCUCAGGGCAUUAUUCCUGACAGGGCAUCAAGCAAGCUGAAAACACUACUGCAAGGACUUCACAUUAUGAAAUCAGCACAGAACACAGGAAAAUUAUCAUUUUUAUCUGGAAUUAGGAAAAAAUGUUAAAAAUCAUGGUCCAGAAGAGAAAGAACAUCUGCAUGGUUUUUUAAAUCCUAUUUUUGCUCAUUUUCAAGCCUUUUUUACUUUUGUUUUUUACAUUUUAUCUCUAAAUAUUUGUGUUUUAUUGUUUUUUUUCAAGUUUUUUUUAAACUUAACUGAGAAAUAUUUGUUCAGAUCUUAAUAUCAGGUGAAAUUGGAAGUACAAUCUUGUUUAAAAUGUAAUAUUAAAGAUCAUUCCACUUAGUAUUCAUUUAUUCUAAUAUGUACUUUUCCUAAGGAUUGUCACUGAUAUUCUGUAGGUUUUGUUUUAAGAUAUAGGAGCUGGGCAUAGUAACUCAUGCCUGUAAUCCUAUAAUUUGGGAGAGUGGGCAGAAAGACCUUGAGUUCAAGGCCAACCUGGGCUACAGGGUAAGUCCCUGUUUCUAAAUAAAGUAUUCUGGUUAUUUUUAGUCACCUUAUAUGUGUUAUAAAGGUUGGUGACUGCCCCUCAUCAGACUUCUAUGCUAACCUGGGAUAGGAAAAUAUGGUGUUGUCACCUGUUCAACAAUCAUGUUGCAUUUACAUGCCUUAUGUUUUCUGGGGGUGUUUGAAAUCCAACCUGAUAAAUAUACUAUCAUAAGUAGGGUUUUUAUUUCUCAUUCAAGCACUUUCCAUCAUAAGGGUGGUUGAAAUUAACAUGUCUCUUAGGUUCUGAACCAGUUCAAAGGUACUCCUCUUACUCAAGUACAGUACAAAAUAAUUCAAGACAGAGAUCCGUCACUAUAGCUGUCUGUGGAUCUCUAUAACUGUUUGAUCAUCCAAUUCAUGAAAGGAGUAAAGAGUUGUUUUUCCAAAGUGAAAAUGCUUAAACCUUGGUUUUAUGUCCAAAACUAUCCAUACUGCCUCAAAAUCUUACAGUUCUUCACGGAUUCCAAUGGUCUUAAGGGGGCGGGAGCCCCAGCGUGUGAAGUUGUGUCUCUUUGCACCUCACUUUGCUUGCUCCUGUACAGAUGUCUUUCUGUUCAUCUGUCCAUGUACUUGAGGACCUCUUCCCCACCCAUGGAUGUCUCCCCAGCUAUUCUCUCUGUGCCAGAUCUGCAGGAUACCCCACCUCUCCCAGCACCAAUCACCAGCCAUGGUGGAACCACUGACUCUGGAGUGACCACCUCUAAUUCCCUGCUUUUCAGGCCUCCAAGCAAAGGUCACACACUGACCUGGAAGCCGACUUUGUACAUUCCUGACACUCCUCGAUGUUUUCUGUGAACCUGACAUAAAAUUCCUCAUUACUGAGGCCUUUCAACUUCUUUUGUAACGCAGGCUUCGGUUGCUCUCUCUCUUCCUGAAGCUGGUCUAGAAUAUCAAUUCCUAGCUAGUGAAGAUGCUAUGUGAAAUGCCUGCAGUGUUGAGUCCGGGGCUCCAAUCCAUGUAUCUGAAGGGAGACAAAAAAAUAACAUUUAAAUGAAGUAUUGUGAGUAGCUUCCUAAUUCUGUUCAUCUCUCAAAAGUGUACUCCCAGCUUGGAGUCUCUUAAGACAGUGGUUCCCAACCCUCCUGAUGCUGUGACCCUUUAAUGUAGUUCCUCAUGUUGUGGUGACCCCAAACCAUAAAAGUAUUUCGUUGCCACUUCAUAACUGACUUUGCUACUAUUAUGAAUUGUAAUAUAAAUAUCUGAUAUGCAGAAUAUCUGGUAUAUGACCCUUUUGGGGUUGCAUAGGUUGAGAACCCCUGUCUUAAAGUGUAAACAGUAAAUGUGUAUAAAUGAGGACAAUUAAGUCAAGUAUUAAGCUUGUUCUUUAGAUAUUUUCUUUGUAACUCAAGAGUAAGCCAAGUUCGUGGAGAAUGUAGUGUGGUCAUGAAAGAUGUAUUCUGUAAGCCAGGAGAAGCAGCCUUUCAAGUAUAUUUUUUCUGAAGACUCUGUUUCAACUAGGAAGAUCAACUCCUAGGAUAAAAGAAGAACAAAAUUCCCAUAGCCUUUCUAGCAGAAUAUUGCAUCGGUCUGCCAUCACCCCAGGGUGUUUGUUCUUGCCUAUAGUGUUUCAACAAUUUGUAUGGUGGAGCACAUUUUUAAAAUGUCUUGGAAAAGUGAAUUAAUGUGUUUCAUUAAAUCCUCCAGUUUAGUCUAAAGAGAAUUAUUGGUUUUGGAGACAAGAGCACAGGGCUGUGGUCCCUGUUCCAUCAUCAACUUGACUAUGUGACCUCAAGCAAAUGAUUGAACUUCUCUGUGCCUCAGUUUCUCCAUAUUACAAAAUGGGGAUAAUGAUAAUCAACCAUUGCCUACCUCAUAGGGAUGCUUUGAGGACAAGAUGAUAUAGAUGAGUGUGAAUGCUUUGACCUCCUUGAAAGGUGCUACAGAAAUUAAGGUUGCAUUGUUUUUAAUGAUCCAGUUAAUCGUAUUUAGAAUUAGAUAAUAGCAAUACUUUUGUCAUGUUUCAGUCCAAGGCAUAUUUCUACUCCUCUUCUACGGCCAGAUCCCAAGUUUUCAUUCAGUAAUGGUACCUAAGGAACUGACACGGGUGUUUGUUUUCUGUCUCUGAUGGUAAUAUGUCAAUUCUGAAUAGUCAUAAAGGCUGGAGUUUAACUUGUGAUGUCUUCUAGUUUACAUGUAAUAAACCUUAUUCAAGUUGUAUAUUAAAAGUAUAAUUACUUGUAAAUAACAGGUACGUUGUAAUUAAAGGCACUUAUCAACUUGUCUUUGUUCUUUUUUAAAUUGUAAUAAA